UGGGGAAUUUUGGACAAUGGGGGCAAACCCUGAUCCAGCCAUGCCGCGUGAGUGAAGAAGGCCUUCGGGUUGUAAAGCUCUUUCAGCCGGAACGAAAUGGUCACGGUUAAUACCCGUGACAAAUGACGGUACCGGAAUAAGAAGCACCGGCUAACUACGUG
rnacentral:rRNA from 1 species